GGGGCCUCAGAGAUGUGCCAGCAGCCAGCUUCUUCCAGGAGCAGCAUGGGGCCAAGACAGGUCCGGAGAUCAUGAUGGACUGGCAGAGGCUCCAGGAUCAACCAGUCAAUCGCAAUGGACAGAGAGUAACAAAGGCAAAGAGAGGACAGCUGCUGGCAUCCCAAAGCUGCUCUCAUCCAUAUGCUUCUCAACUAUGUACUGCAUGGUGCCUGCUGAAGUUAUCGCCGACUGGCUGGGGCAGUGUCUUACCACAGAGGAAGAAAUAAGGCUACCAUCACUAUAAACCUUUCGGAGAGGACUGCAGAAUAUUUCCAUGAAAGUUUCACUGCGAUCUCUCAGGAGGUUUCAGUAACUGCAGCCAACAUCUAAGUUGCUGAAACAUGAAAUUUCUUCCCUUGAAUAGACAACCUUGGAACGUCUAACCCAAAAGAAAUCUCAUUAGUCAUACACAGAGUCUUGUCUCUGGGAAAAUUGCUAAUGGAAGUGGGACAAAUAGGCCAGACACUCUUUGGAGCACUUAAUUUGCAGUGAUCUAGAUUAAUAGUUUAAGGCCAGAAGGGAUCAUUCGAUCAUCUAGUCUGAUCUCCCGAAUAUCACAGGACAUUACAUUUCACCUACAUUUCAUUGUGUAUUGAGCACAAGAACUUGUGUUUCACUAAAGCAUAUCUUCCAGAAAGGCAUCUGGUCUUGAUUUGAAGACCUCAAGAGAUGAAGAAUCCACCACCUCACUGGAUCACUUGUUCCAUUUGAUAAUCACUUUCACUGUUAAUUUGAAUUCUUCUGGCUUGAGUGUUCAACGAGCAAGAGCUGGAGUGGUAAAGACUGGUAACACAAUUUGAAGACUGCCUGACGCAGUGCCCCUUGUCAACAUGCUGUACCUUGGAGGAACUGUUUGAGAUACAUGACACAACCAGGUCUUGGCUGUGGUUCUGGAGUGACAAGCUACAACGAUGAGCCAGCUUUUCUCAGCUAAAUUAAAGAGCCCUUUAGACUCAUUAGUUUCUCCCUGUGAAAUUACCCAGACACUAUAAUCAAUUCACCUCUUAAUCUUUUUGAUAAAGAUAAACAGAUAGAACUCUUUAAAGUCUCUCACUGUAAGGCAUUUUCACAAGCCUUUAAAUCAUUUGCACAGACUUCUUUAGGUUUCUCAGUCAUGUUUGAGUACCAAAGAAUAAACCUGAGGAUUCUAAAAAAAAAAAGAACAGAAUGGGAGGGGGCAUGAGAGAAGAGAGCAGCUGGCACAAUUGAGACCUAUCAAUGUUUGAGAACUUUUAAGAGAGUAUAAAGUACCCUAGAGUUAUUUUUAUUAAAGUAAAUAAAUGAUUUAGCAAACUACUAGCUCUAAUUGCUGAGUAAGACCUAGGAAGUGGGAAUAUCAGAAUAGACAAUAGUGAAAAAAAUGAAAAAACAAGUAAACAAAGAGAAAUGAAGGCCAAAGUAUUGUUUUGUCAUCUUACUGAGCAGCUAUCAUAGUUUCUUUAGUGUUGAUUUUCUUCCAUGAGUUCACGGUCAAAUGUUUUUGCUUUCAAGAAUAUUUUACUUCUGGAUUUUCUUUACUAGCUGCAUUGCUGAGCUGAUGCUUCAAAACAAAUACAUCUUUUCUAAGUACAUUACCCUGAACUUUACUAGGAAAAGGACUGAGGCAGAACUUUCUCCAGCAAUAUAAUCUGUAUAGUGUCAAAUGCUUUUCUUUUAGUACAGAAAUAACAAAAGCUUAUGUCUACCAAUGAUGAGUGACUUUUUGUUGUUGCAUAAAAAAAAAAAAGAUAGAUCUUUUCCUGUCCUUCCACUCCCAUUCUGUAGCAGUUACUGUUCUGCUUGUUGUAACUUGCAUUUCAUUCCCUUUAUGUGGUAUUUAGGUAGCAGCAUUAAAGGUGCACUAGUUC